CAGAGGUCCCAAGCGUUGUUCGGAUUCACUGGGCGUAAAGGGUGCGUAGGCGGUCGGAUAAGUCUGAUGUGAAAUCUCCGAGCUUAACUCGGAAAUGGCAUUGGAUACUAUUCGGCUUGAGGUCUGGAGGGGGGACUGGAAUUCUCGGUGUAGCAGUGAAAUGCGUAGAUAUCGAGAGGAACACCAGUGGCGAAGGCGAGUCCCUGGACAGGUCCUGACGCUGAGGCACGAAAGCUAGGGGAGUAAACAGGAUUAGAUACCCUGGUAGUCCUAGCCGUAAACGGUGUGUAUUUGCUGUAAAAGGAAUCGACCCCUUUUGUGGCGUAGCAAACGCGUUAAAUACACCGCCUGGGAAGUACGGUCGCAAGAUUA
rnacentral:rRNA from 1 species